CAAACUUUGUGUGUGUCAUUGAAAAGUCAAACAGAGUACACCAAAUUGAUUUCAUAACAGUGCCACCUAUUGGUCAAACUUUAUAAGCCAAGUAAUCAUGCUACUAGAGGUGGUAUUAUGAUUUUUUUUUUGCCAUUUCAAUUACAAUAAUUCCAAAAUUACUGUUAUUGCUCAUUAAUGUAUUUGGUGUGAUGCUUCAUGCCAUGCUUAGCUCCUACAUUUGCCGUUGGAGUGCUUGGCCCCGUAAUUGCUGCUUGCAGCUAUAUUUAGGGGCCAAGCACCGAAGGUGCGAAGGCACCUAUUGUGUUUGUUGGCGUUAUUAUUCUUCUUCUUCCACCCCAAGUCUAUGGUAGCCCAUAGAACCGAUUGCGGGAAAGUUGUAUAAUUUGGCACACUAAUAGAGGACUGUCUGAACAUUAACCGUAGCAAAUUUGAAGUCUCUAACUCAAACUCUCUAGCGCCACCAAUUGUCUAAACUUUCAAAAACUUGAUGCUAAUAACUCUUGAACCGUAAGCCACAAAAUGAAAAUUCUUUUUUCCUGUGAUUCCUUGGCUCAUGCCGAGUCGAAUGGACACCGAAAUUCAAAAAUCGCAAGGCUUAGUUUUUUCGCUAUCGUCAAUUGUUCGUAAAACCUACUUUUUCGAACUCGUCCUAGGCCGUUGCACCGAUUGUCACGAAAAUUGAAUCAGAUAAUCUUCAGACCAUGCUGACAAAAAGUUAUGGAAUUCAAGUUGAUUUCUCAAACCGUUUCCGAAUAGCUCAUGAACGAAUUCUUUGAAAAGCACGCAAACGUGAACGUGAGGCUAUAUCUCCGCAACGGUUUGGCCUAUUGA